rnacentral:rRNA from 1 species
UGGGGAAUAUUGCACAAUGGGCGCAAGCCUGAUGCAGCAACGCCGCGUGAGGGACGACGGCCUUCGGGUUGUAAACCUCUUUUAGUAGGGAAGAAGCGAAAGUGACGGUACCUGCAGAAAAAGCACCGGCUAACUACGUGCCAGCAGCCGCGGUAAUACGUAGGGUGCGAGCGUUGUCCGGAAUUAUUGGGCGUAAAGAGCUCGUAGGCGGUCUGUCGCGUCUGCUGUGAAAACCCGAGGCUCAACCUCGGGCCUGCAGUGGGUACGGGCAGACUAGAGUGCGGUAGGGGAGAAUGGAAUUCCUGGUGUAGCGGUGGAAUGCGCAGAUAUCAGGAGGAACACCGAUGGCGAAGGCAGUUCUCUGGGCCGUAACUGACGCUGAGGAGCGAAAGCGUGGGAGCGAACAGGAUUAGAUACCCUGGUAGUCCACGCCGUAAACGUUGGGCGCUAGAUGUGGGGACCAUUCCACGGUUUCCGUGUCGCAGCUAACGCAUUAAGCGCCCCGCCUGGGGAGUACGGCCGCAAGGCUAAAACUCAAAGGAAUUGACGGGGUCAUAGCUG